CAACCUUAUGAUCGAUGGCCUUGGAAGAUCUCGAAGAAUAGAGGAAGCUAUGUCUCUUCUUGAGGAGAUGAAGAACAGAGGGAUUGUUCCUAACUUGUACACCUACAAUUCCCUAAUACUCAAUC
rnacentral:miRNA from 1 species